rnacentral:rRNA from 1 species
AGAGUUUGAUCCUGGCUCAGGACGAACGCUGGCGGCGUGCCUAAUACAUGCAAGUCGAACGAACUCUGGUAUUGAUUGGUGCUUGCAUCAUGAUUUACAUUUGAGUGAGUGGCGAACUGGUGAGUAACACGUGGGAAACCUGCCCAGAAGCGGGGGAUAACACCUGGAAACAGAUGCUAAUACCGCAUAACAACUUGGACCGCAUGGUCCGAGUUUGAAAGAUGGCUUCGGCUAUCACUUUUGGAUGGUCCCGCGGCGUAUUAGCUAGAUGGUGGGGUAACGGCUCACCAUGGCAAUGAUACGUAGCCGACCUGAGAGGGUAAUCGGCCACAUUGGGACUGAGACACGGCCCAAACUCCUACGGGAGGCAGCAGUAGGGAAUCUUCCACAAUGGACGAAAGUCUGAUGGAGCAACGCCGCGUGAGUGAAGAAGGGUUUCGGCUCGUAAAACUCUGUUGUUAAAGAAGAACAUAUCUGAGAGUAACUGUUCAGGUAUUGACGGUAUUUAACCAGAAAGCCACGGCUAACUACGUGCCAGCAGCCGCGGUAAUACGUAGGUGGCAAGCGUUGUCCGGAUUUAUUGGGCGUAAAGCGAGCGCAGGCGGUUUUUUAAGUCUGAUGUGAAAGCCUUCGGCUCAACCGAAGAAGUGCAUCGGAAACUGGGAAACUUGAGUGCAGAAGAGGACAGUGGAACUCCAUGUGUAGCGGUGAAAUGCGUAGAUAUAUGGAAGAACACCAGUGGCGAAAGCGGCUGUCUGGUCUGUAACUGACGCUGAGCUCGAAAGUAUGGGUAGCAAACAGGAUUAGAUACCCUGGUAGUCCAUACCGUAAACGAUGAAUGCUAAGUGUUGGAGGGUUUCCGCCCUUUCAGUGCUGCAGCUAACGCAUUAAGCAUUCCGCCUGGGGAGUACGGCCGCAAGGCUGAAACUCAAAGGAAUUGACGGGGGCCCGCACAAGCGGUGGAGCAUGUGGUUUAAUUCGAAGCUACGCGAAGAACCUUACCAGGUCUUGACAUACUAUGCAAAUCUAAGAGAUUAGACGUUCCCUUCGGGGACAUGGAUACAGGUGGUGCAUGGUUGUCGUCAGCUCGUGUCGUGAGAUGUUGGGUUAAGUCCCGCAACGAGCGCAACCCUUAUUAUCAGUUGCCAGCAUUAAGUUGGGCACUCUGGUGAGACUGCCGGUGACAAACCGGAGGAAGGUGGGGAUGACGUCAAAUCAUCAUGCCCCUUAUGACCUGGGCUACACACGUGCUACAAUGGAUGGUACAACGAGUUGCGAACUCGCGAGAGUAAGCUAAUCUCUUAAAGCCAUUCUCAGUUCGGAUUGUAGGCUGCAACUCGCCUACAUGAAGUCGGAAUCGCUAGUAAUCGCGGAUCAGCAUGCCGCGGUGAAUACGUUCCCGGGCCUUGUACACACCGCCCGUCACACCAUGAGAGUUUGUAACACCCAAAGUCGGUGGGGUAACCUUUUAGGAACCAGCCGCCUAAGGUGGGACAGAUGAUUAGGGUGAAGUCGUAACAAGGUAGCC